CAGAUUGCAGGCUGCAACCCGCCUGCAUGAAGUCGGAAUUGCUAGUAAUCGCGGAUCAGCAUGCCGCGGUGAAUACGUUCCCGGGCCUUGUACACACCGCCCGUCACACCAUGGGAGCCGGUAAUACCCGAAGUCAGUAGUCCAACCUCGUGAGGACGCUGCCGAAGGUAGGAUUGGCGACUGGGGUGAAGUCGUAACAAGGUACC
rnacentral:rRNA from 1 species